GCCAGGCAUGGUGGCGCACACCUGUAAUCCCAGAAGUUUGGGAGGCUGAGGCAAGAGGAUCACAAGUUCAAAACUAGCCUCAGCAACUUAGCCCUAUGCAACUUAGUGAGAUCCUGUCUCUA
rnacentral:sRNA from 1 species